rnacentral:rRNA from 1 species
GACGUAGGAGGCGAGCGUUAUCCGGAUUCACUGGGCGUAAAGCGCAUGUAGGCGGUUGCACAAGUCCGUUGGUAAAGCCCCUGGCUCAACUGGGGGAGGUCAAUGGAGACUGUGCGACUUGAGGGCAAUAGAGGCACGUGGAACUCCCGGUGUAGCGGUGGAAUGCGUAGAGAUCGGGAAGAACACCAGUGGCGAAGGCGACGUGCUGGGUUGCACCUGACGCUGAGAUGCGAAAGUGUGGGGAGCAAACGGG